rnacentral:rRNA from 1 species
UAAGCGGUGGAAAAUGAACCAAAUGGGAUUCCUUAAGUAAUUGCGAAUGAACAAGGAACUGCUCAGCUUGAAAAUUGGGGCCUUCGGCCUUGAAUUGUAAUUUUGAAAUGUAUUGCCAAUGGAGGCGCAGGUGCAAGCCUAUUGAAAGAAAGCGUCAAUGAGGGUGAGAUUCCUUUUUGUCAUUUGCAGUCCUCCGUGCACGGUAUAUAUUUGACGAGUCACACUCCUUGGCAUUGGAAUGCAAAGUGGGUGGUAAAUUCCAUGUAAAGGAAAAUAUAUUAUUGAGACUGAUAGCAAACAAGUACCAUGAGGGAAAUAUGAAAAGGACUUUGAAAAGAGAAUUAAAAGAGUCUGCAUUUGCUGAACAGAAAGCAAACAGAAUUGAUCUACUUGGUGAGAUUGUUGCGUCCACUUGUGGGCGCAAUGGUUCUUGCCUUGAAUGUCAGCGUCUACUUCUGCAAAUUAUUACCCUUGCAUAUGAAUGGUAAUUUGCCUGUGGGCAUUGGAAUGCAUGUGUUUGCAAUGAUUUGUGAUUUGAUACAUGUGUCUGGUGUUCGUGUGUGUGCCUUCUUGCCAACAAGGGGAGGGCUCUCCUCCCUGGGCACUGCAAGCCCUUGCACAUUGUUGCUGGCAAAAUGUUUCUGCUUGACCCG